UACAACCCCUAUAUAAGGCACAGACCAUUAAACAGUUCAAAGUACUUUGCUGUAGAGGUCUCACAUGUGUGGACGUACAUCUCGCCUCGCUGUGUUAUUCGGUCGCGAUGAAAUUAUCAAAUUUUACGCACUUUUUUAAAGCCAGGAGAAUACUAACAUCAAAUAAUUUGGUCAAUGCAUUAUUUACAAACAUAGUAUGCACAUAGAAUAAGAAAUAAAUGCAUAAAAUCGAAAGACCACGAAAGGAAUACUACACGUCGACCACGAGUUUCAGGUGUGCAAUCGGGUGUAUCGGAAUCGAAGGGUUUAUAUACCAGGUAUCUGUGUGACAGUGCCUAUUUACGAGCGGUGUUCAGCUUUAAGUAUCGAUUUAAACUAGUCCGUCAUUUGAAAACGCCAAGUAUCCACAUAUACAAGGCACAUGUAUGUUGUGGGGUAAUUCAAAACUUUUCAAAUUGAAAUUUUUUAACUAGGUGUGAAAAGGUAGAGUGGAAAACUUAAAGUUCUCGUAAUGGCCGAGGAAAAUAGAGGGAGGGAAUACUGCCCGGCAUACGGUGAAGGCAAUAGCAGUUGUCAAUUAGAUGUGGCUAUAACGAUGGUAAACAUAGAAACACCAGAGAAUAAAAUUCCCUUGAUGCCAAAACAUUCUAAUGAAGCAGAGAAACCACACUGGAGGAAAAGGUGCAAUGAGAUUAAAAAGAAAAGUAUAUAUGCGGUCCCCCUGUUUUUGAUUGUAGCCGCAGCUCUAUCCAUUCUAUUUUUGGUUCUUUUCGGGGAGGGUAUUUUUAAAAGCCUCUUCAAUAAAUGAAACACUAAAAUUAACAGAGAAGGACAUAACAUUUUCAUAUCUGUCUUGUUUACUAGUAUAUCUUUAUUGCAGUUUAUAGCGGAUUAAUGUUUUGUUAAAUUGUAUACAACUGUAAUAUUUUUUAUCAUUGUAAACCACAGUUGUAAGAGAGAUAAAGUGAUUUUUGGCGAACGAUUUUCGAAACUGGGCCAUUUCAUGUACUGUUUAUCUUAUGUGAAUGGUCGUAUUUGUCACGAUUUCGGGAGUGGGAAAAAAAUUCGCGAUUUUUUCCCGCAUUUUUAUCAACUUUUUGUUAACACUAUUGUAUUAAUAUGUACCUUACUUUGUAUAUACAUGUUUUGUUAAAUCAAACCUGUUUGUUGAUGUCUCGAUUGCAAACUAUGCAUAUAAUGAAAACAAUCAUUUUGUGUUACCAAUAAUUCCUGCUCACCACUAAAAAAUAUCACAAAGCAGCAUAUUUCCUUUAUGACGUAUCAUUCUGUGUCAGUGAUGUUUCAAAAAUAUGUUGACUUAUCACAAAAAAAAAACACAGGAGCGUGUUAAUUACUAACUUGUGUUGAGUAAAACGAAUGAACUGAACAUUUAAUAGUCAUGCCUUUCUUUGCAUCAUUUACUAGAGCUAAGAAAUAAACCUGCAAAUAUCUAACUUUUAAGAUGUAAAAGGCUCUCAAUGACUGUACAGCGUGGUUAAAAGAGUAUAUGGAAACAUUAUUUUCGAGACAUCAACCAUAAUGACAUUCAUUUAAUGUGUCUAGCACAAAAAAUACAUUCUAAAUGCACUUCACUAGAUAUGAUGUGUCAGGUAUUUAUUUUGCUGUUCAAUGAUGAAAUAUUUCAAGUAACUGUUUCAUAUUACUUCAUUUUGAAUUUGUUUUAAUACGUCAUUCA